CGGAUGCAGGAACCGCUCGUGUGUUCAGCGUGUGAAAGACUUUUAUUUAUAACAUAUCCUUGCUCAGCCAUGCUGAAUCCAUCAACCGGAACCUCCUUGUUUUCUGCCUCUCUCGACACACUCCUCACCAUAUUUUUUAACAUUAAAAAAAAAAAAAAUCUUAAAGUCAAAAUUUGAAAAAACUGCCUACAUUUCCAGAGUGAAUUUUGCAAUUUAUUGUUAAGAAGUUUUUGAGGAGUCUUUUUACGUGUGUGUGAUUUUAAGUAUUGACAUUUUUGUGAUUUGAGUGAAUUAUGCUGAUGGUAUCACCAUCUCCUAAAAUUGUGUUUGUUAUGUUUUUGGGGGGAAAUUGAAACUUACAAGAACAUACUAGCACAUGGUGUUGGAAAAACUUGGUAUCCAAAAGUCACUAAUCAUAAAAUGUUCUGUAUUGAUGCACUGAUAAUAAACAUGAAAUGAAAAGUCUUUUUGAUUCUA